GCCGGAAUAGCUCAGUUGGGAGAGCGUUAAACUGAAGAUCUAAAUGUCCCUGGUUCGAUCCCGGGUUCCGGCG
rnacentral:tRNA from 1 species